UACGGAGGGUGCAAGCGUUAUCCGGAUUCACUGGGUGUAAAGGGUGCGUAGGUGGGCAGGUAAGUCAGUGGUGAAAUCUCCGAGCUUAACUCGGAAACUGCCGUUGAUACUAUUUGUCUUGAAUAUUGUGGAGGUAAGCGGAAUAUGUCAUGUAGCGGUGAAAUGCGUAGAUAUGACAUAGAACACCAAUUGCGAAGGCAGCUUACUACACAACGAUUGACGCUGAGGCACGAAAGCGUGGGGAGCAAACAGG
rnacentral:rRNA from 1 species